rnacentral:rRNA from 1 species
AUUGAACGCUGGCGGCAGGCCUAACACAUGCAAGUCGAACGAGUGGCGGACGGGUGAGUAAUGUCUGGGAAACUGCCUGAUGGAUGGGGCUAACUACUGGAAACGGUAGCUAAUACCGCAUACCAUCAGCUGUGCCCAGAUGGGAUUAGCUUGUUGGUGGUGUGACGGCUCACCAAGGCGACGAUCCCUAGCUGGUCUGAGAGGAUGACCAGGCACACGGGAACGGCGCCACGGUCCCGCAUCCUACGGGAGGCAGCAGUGGGGAUUAUUGCACAAUGGGCGCAAGCCUGAUGCAGACAUGGCGCGUGUAUGAAGAAGGCCUUCGGGUUGUAAAGUACGUUCAGCGGGGAGGCGUUACCCGCAGAAAAAGCCCCGGCUAACUCCGUGCCAGCCGCCGCGGUAAUAC